rnacentral:rRNA from 1 species
AUUGAACGCUGGCGGCAUGCCUUACACAUGCAAGUCGAACGGUAACGCGGGGGCAACCCUGGCGACGAGUGGCGAACGGGUGAGUAAUACAUCGGAACGUGUCCUGUUGUGGGGGAUAACCCAUCGAAAGGUGAGCUAAUACCGCAUGAUCUGGAGACAGCAAAGCAGGGGACCGGAAACGGCCUUGCGCGAUUGGAGCGGCCGAUGUCCGACUAGCUAGUUGGCGGGGUAAAGCCCACCAAGGCAACGAUCGGUAGCUGGUCUGAGAGGAUGAUCAGCCACACUGGGACUGAGACACGGCCCAGACUCCUACGGGAGGCAGCAGUGGGGAAUUUUGGACAAUGGGGGCAACCCUGAUCCAGCCAUGCCGCGUGAGUGAAGAAGGCCU